rnacentral:rRNA from 1 species
GCACAAGCGGUGGAGCAUGUGUUAAUUCGAAGCAACGCGAAGAACCUUACCAGGUCUUGACAUCCGAUGCUAUUCUAGAGAUAGAAAGUUACUUCGGUACAUCGGUGACAGGUGGUGCAUGGUUGUCGUCAGCUCGUGUCGUGAGAUGUUGGGUUAAGUCCCGCAACGAGCGCAACCCCUAUUGUUAGUUGCCAUCAUUCAGUUGGGCACUCUAGCGAGACUGCCGGUAAUAAACCGGAGGAAGGUGGGAUGACGUCAAAUCAUCAUGCCCCUUAUGACCUGGGCUACACACGUGCUACAAUGGUUGGUACAACGAGUUGCGAGUCGGUGACGGCGAGCUAAUCUCUUAAAGCCAAUCUCAGUUCGGAUUGUAGGCUGCAACUCGCCUACAUGAAGUCGGAAUCGCUAGUAAUCGCGGAUCAGCACGCCGCGGUGAAUACGUUCCCGGGCCUU